UACGAAGGGGGCUAGCGUUGCUCGGAAUCACUGGGCGUAAAGGGUGCGUAGGCGGGUCUUUAAGUCAGGGGUGAAAUCCUGGAGCUCAACUCCAGAACUGCCUUUGAUACUGAAGAUCUUGAGUUCGGGAGAGGUGAGUGGAACUGCGAGUGUAGAGGUGAAAUUCGUAGAUAUUGGGAAGAACACCGGUGGCGAAGGCGGGUCUCUGGGCCGAUACUGACGCUGAGGAGCGAAAGCGUGGGGAGCGAACAGG
rnacentral:rRNA from 1 species